rnacentral:hammerhead_ribozyme from 1 species
AUCCAGCUGGCGAGUCCUACAUAGGACGAAACGUGCGUCCUGUAU